rnacentral:rRNA from 1 species
UUCGCCGCUCGCGACGUCUUGAGAAGUCCACUGAACCUUAUCAUUUAGAGGAAGGAGAAGUCGUAACAAGGUUUCCGUAGGUGAACCUGCGGAAGGAUCAUUGUUGAAAUCCUCAACGAGGAGGACCGUGAAUGCAUCAAGGAAUGUUUGUCGGGUUGGGGGCCCCCUCGGACUGACGCAGUCCUCGCCCUUGCGGCGUGGAUGACUGACCAAAUCACCCGGCGCGAUGGGCGCCAAGGAACACGAAACGUUCGGGCGGGCGGGACUUUGUCCUUGCGCGCCCUAGUUUUGAUCGAAAUCAAACGACUCUCGGCAACGGAUAUCUCGGCCCUCGCAUCGAUGAAGAACGUAGCGAAAUGCGAUACGUGGUGUGAAUUGCAGAAUCCCGCGAACCAUUGAGUCUUUGAACGCAAGUUGCGCCCGAGGCCUUCUGGCCGAGGGCAUGCCUGCCUGGGCGUCACGCCAUCGUCGCUUCGCGCGCCCUUGCCCCCACGCACGAGUGGCGGAGCCGGAUACGGACAUUGGCCCCCCUGGCCCCCGGGCGCGGUCGGCCGAAGAUCGGGCCGUUGUUGGUGGCCGGACAUGACGGGUGGUGGCGCUACGAGCAAGCCGAACGUCGUGUCCCCGCCGUGAUGACGAGCUACGGAGGACCCCCACUCCACCAUAAUUGUUUGCCACGGAUUGCGACCCCAGGUCAGGCGGGACCACCCGCCGAGUUUAAGCAUAUAAAUAAGCGGAGGAGAGGAAACUUACGAGGAUUCCCAUAGUAACAGCGAGCGAACCGGGAUCAGCCCAGCUUGAGAAUCGGGGCGGUUGCACCGUUCGAA